rnacentral:rRNA from 1 species
UACGUAGGGUGCAAGCGUUGUCCGGAAUUAUUGGGCGUAAAGAGCUCGUAGGCGGUCUGUCGCGUCGGUUGUGAAAACACGGGGCUCAACUCCGUGCCUGCAAUCGAUACGGGCAGACUAGAGUUCGGUAGGGGAGACUGGAAUUCCUGGUGUAGCGGUGAAAUGCGCAGAUAUCAGGAGGAACACCGGUGGCGAAGGCGGGUCUCUGGGCCGAAACUGACGCUGAGGAGCGAAAGCGUGGGGAGCGAACAGG